AGCUUUGCGCAGUGGCAGUAUCGUAGCCAAUGAGGUUUAUCCGAGGCGCAAUUAUUGCUAAUUGAGAACUUCUAAGGUAUUGC
rnacentral:snRNA from 1 species